GCGAGUCUUUGUAGUAAUACAAGGCAGACGGCUCAGUAACACGUAGUCAACCUACCCUAUGGACAAGAAUAAUCUCGGGAAACUGGGCAUAAUUCUUGAUAGAUCAUAAUGCCUGGAAUGGUUUAUGGUUAAAAUGAUUCGUCGCCAUAGGAUGGGACUGCGGCCUAUCAGCUUGUUGGUGAGGUAAUGGCCCACCAAGGCGAUUACAGGUACGGGCUCUGAGAGGAGAAGCCCGGAGAUGGGUACUGAGACACGGACCCAGGCCCUAUGGGGCGCAGCAGGCGAGAAAACUUUGCAAUGUGCGAAAGCACGACAAGGUUAAUCCGAGUGAUUUCUGCUAAAGAAAUCUUUUGCCAGUCAUAAAACCACUGGUGAAUAAGGGGUGGGCAAGUUCUGGUGUCAGCCGCCGCGGUAAAACCAGCACCUCAAGUGGUCAGGAUGAUUAUUGGGCCUAAAGCAUCCGUAGCCGGCUUUGUUAGUUUUCGGUUAAAUCCAUGUGCUCAACGCAUGGGCUGCCGAAAAUACUGCAUAGCUAGGGAGUGGGAGAGGUAGACGGUACUCAGUAGGAAGGGGUAAAAUCCUUUGAUCUAUUGAUGACCACCUGUGGCGAAGGCGGUCUACCAGAACACGUUCGACGGUGAGGGAUGAAAGCUGGGGGAGCAAACCGGAUUAGAUACCCGGGUAGUCCCAGCUGUAAACGAUGCAGACUCGAUGAUGCAUUGGCAUAAUAGCCAAUGCAGUGUCGCAGGGAAGCCGUUAAGUCUGCCGCCUGGGAAGUACGUACGCAAGUAUGAUACUUAAAGGAAUUGGCG
rnacentral:rRNA from 1 species